GGAUUGUGGCUUAGUGGUACAGUGCUCGCCUAGCACAUGCAAGGCUCUGGGUUCGAUCCCCAGCACCA
rnacentral:tRNA from 1 species